rnacentral:rRNA from 1 species
CAGCUAGUUGGUAGGGUAAUGGCCUACCGAGGCUAAGACGGGUAGCUGGUCUGAGAGGAUGAACAGCCACACUGGAACUGAGACACGGUCCAGACUCCUACGGGAGGCAGCAGUGGGGAAUCUUGCGCAAUGGGCGAAAGCCUGACGCAGCGACGCCGCGUGAGCGAUGAAGGCCUUCGGGUUGUAAAGCUCUGUGGGGAGGAAAGAAUAAGGUUUGGCUAAUAUCCAAGCUGAUGACGGUACCUCCUUAGCAAGCACCGGCUAACUCUGUGCCAGCAGCCGCGGUAAGACAGAGGGUGCAAACGUUGUUCGGAAUUACUGGGCGUAAAGCGCGUGUAGGCGGCCCUGCCAG